rnacentral:rRNA from 1 species
UACGUAGGGACCAAGCGUUGUUCGGAUUUACUGGGCGUAAAGGGCUCGUAGGCGGCCAACUAAGUCGGAUGUGAAAUCCCCAGGCUUAACCUGGGAACUGCAUCCGAUACUGGAUGGCUUGAAUCCGGGAGAGGGAUGCAGAAUUCCAGGUGUAGCGGUGAAAUGCGUAGAUAUCUGGAGGAAUACCGGUGGCGAAGGCGGCAUCCUGGACCGGCAUUGACGCUGAGUGAGCGAAAGCCAGGGGAGCAAAGCGGG